CCUACGGGAGGCAGCAGUGAGGAAUAUUGGUCAAUGGACGAGAGUCUGAACCAGCCAAGUAGCGUGAAGGAUGACUGCCCUAUGGGUUGUAAACUUCUUUUAUAAAGGAAUAAAACGAGGCACGUGUGCCUUUUUGCAUGUACUUUAUGAAUAAGGAUCGGCUAACUCAGUGCCAGCAGCCGCGGUAAUACGGAGGAUUCGAGCGUUAUCCGGAUUUAUUGGGUUUAAAGGGAGCGUAGAUGGGUUGUUAAGUCAGUUGUGAAAGUUUGCGGCUCAACCGUAAAAUUGCAAUUGAUACUGGCAGUCUUGAGUACAGUUGAGGUAGGCGGAAUGCGUGGUGUAGCGGUGAAAUGCUUAGAUAUCACGAAGAACCCCGAUUGCGAAGGCAGCUUACUAAACUGUGACUGACAUUGAUGCUCGAAAGUGUGGGUAGCAAACAGGAUUAGAUACCCCUGUAGUC
rnacentral:rRNA from 1 species